UAACUUUUUAUACCAGUCUUGCCCAACUAAGUACAAUGCCGUAUCUUUGCCUUCCUAUACUUUGUCACGUUAAUAUUUUUAGUUUGGUUAAAAUAAGAGAAAAGAGUAUGAAAAGUGGCCAUUUUAAGGUCCAUUAAGCUACCAAAAGGAAUUCUGUGCUUUGAAUAUUACCUCUCUCCUGGUUUCAUAUUCUUUGGUUACAAAGGUUGAGAUAAAAGAGUGUUUAUUUUUGAAGCUGUCAGCUUCACUGUCAUAGCAAAACUCUCACUUUUGUCAAUGUUAUCUCUGUGGAACUCAGUGAGGAAGAAAAUAGAAGCCUUAAAAGCAUCUCUGUAGAUUUCGUCUUCCAGAAAGAGAGUUUCUAUGAUUUGGUUCAAUGAGAAAUCCUUUUACCUGCCUAGAAAUGCAGGACCCACUGCUAGCAACUGCUGCUUCUCUUGCCUGGGCAUUUACUGAAAUGUGAUAUGAAAUACACACAUGCAUGCACACACACACACACACACACACUCAUGAUAAAAUGAAUGUAGUACUGUAGCUUUCUGCCCAUUUAGUAAAUUCUGCUGUAUCUGUUUCAAUCCAGUUAGUACACUCUCUUUUGCUUUUGAAAAGUUUUCACAGUUUUAAAGAAUCAUACUUUACAAAGCCUAUUGUGGAAUUUAGAUCUAACAUUUAUUCAGAUCAUAAUCCCUGUGUGUUUCUAUACCUGUGGCAAGCCUAAUACACACAAAUACAUAGAAGUUGUAUUACGGAGCUCAACAACCAUUCACUCAUUGACAUCCAUUCACUCAUUCCACAAACAGCUAUGGAUCACCGACUCUAGAUCAGACUUACCAAUGGGCACUGUGGAUAUGAAAAUGAAUAGAAUACAGUUACUGUCCUCAAAAGAUGUCAGAGUCAAUAUUGAAAACAAUGUAAAAUUUGAGUAACGUUUGUCAUUUAUCUAAUAGUGUUGUACCACUAUCAAUCUUCUGUUUUUGGUAAUUUUGCUAGGAUUCUAUAAGAUGUUUACAUUACAAGAAGCUAUGUAAAGGGCAUCUGGAAACUCUCUGAACUAUUUUUGCAUCUUUUCUGUAAGUUUAAAAUUAUGUUUAAAAAAGUUAAAAUCACAGUCUAAACUUUAUAUUGGUGAAUUACCAAAUUCCCAACAACACAGCUUUACAAGGAUUUUCAACUAAGAAUUCUUAUUUGCCUGGAUAAGUGUUUCCAGAUGUAUUAACAUAAGAAACUGCUCACAGGAAACUGGAGAUGUGGGAAGAAUGGGUUUCUGAGUCAGAUAGGUCUGCAUGAGACUUGGCUUUUCUUGUGACCAUUCAUGUUCACUUUUGAGCAAGGUGAGCAACCUCUCUAAGUCCACUUUCUCACCUUUAUGUGGUGUUAAUAAUAUUUAUAGUAACACCUUCACAAUGUUCAUACGGUGGAGUUGGGCCUGGGUGGGGGAUAAUGUAUUUUAAGAUUAAAUGAUAAAACAUAAAAAAUAAAAUAAAAAAAUGAUACAACAUAUAUAAAACACUGUACAUAGACAAUAAGCCUUGGACUACAAAUGUCCACAUACACCCCCAAUGCUUAGGGAUGUUUAUUCCCCACUCCUCAGGGUUAUUAUUUUUUUUUUUUGGUUUGUUGUUUUUGUUUUUGUUUUGUUUUAUUUUGUUUUUUUAUGUGGAGGAAGCACCACUGUCUCACUCUCUGCCUCUUUCUGCCCCUCACACCUGCCACUCCAGGGAAACUGGGCUGACUUACCAGGUGAAAGAGCUGGGAUGAGAAAUUUGUUGUGGGCCCAUCCCCCUUUCAUGGGGAAGGCUACAUCCAACUCUGCUGGUGUGAGAAACCUGUCCUAGUGAGUGAGUACAACUGGUCAGGAUUGAGUUUCAGGUUUAAAGUUUAUGUGUGUGCAAAUAUUCUUCAAUAAUACAUCAGCAAAUACAGGAGAUAUUAUGAUGCCUUUCUGCCUUAGGCUUUGGUUGUGAUUCUCAACAAGUUCGGAAUUCAGAAAAUGAAGGGAUUUUUUUUUUCUAUUGGCCCUCCAAAGAUCCCACUAAUAGCUAAAUCUUUUCAUGUAAUAAACACAUCUUCUCUAAGUAUAGAAAUAUGAAAAUAGUUAAACUUUUCUGAUGUUGUGUUUUGUUACUGUUUGCCUUUCAUUCAUUCACCUGUCACAGUGUCCAGGAAUGAAGAAAAAGCUGCUUCACCUUGUCAACUGGCAGCUUGUAAAUACUUGGAUUAUGAGUUUAACAGUGUAAACCAAGUCAUAUUAGACAGAGAGGGAAUACUCUCUGACCCCGUUACUAACUGCACACCCCAGGAUGUGGCAACAAUCUCCUCUGGUUGGAACUCAAUUAAGAUCCCAUGAACAAAUCUACUAGCUCUCUCUGCAGAAGCUUGGACUCAAGGUCAACUGAUAGGCUGACAGCCUAUGAACAAGCAAGGCCCUACAUUCCUUAUCUGACAUAAGGAGACCAGGACUCCAUCCAGUUUAUGUGGACUCUCAAAACAUGCCCAUUGUUCCUUCUCCUUGUCCAACAGUCACCUCUGCUUCAUCUUAAUGUUAAAGUCUCUGCCUCAGGGGGGAGCACAAGGUUCAUUAACAUAAUGUUUGAUGUACAUAUGGGCCUCUUUUUUAAUUAUGCCUGCACAACCUUUAUAGGUGAUAACAAAGCUACCCUUUCUGAAUAUUCAUCCUAAAUCCUAAACAAAAAGAACUCCCUUGUCUCUGCUCAGGGAGUCAUGGCUUUGGAAAUUAUUCCCCAUGAUCUCCCCAUUUGCUGCAAAUAAAGAUUACUUUGGGUGUAGUCUUUCCUUGUAACUCACCAAGGAAUGAGCUCAUGUUACUGCGGAUAUACUUUUAUGUCACAGUCUGUAUUAUAUUAUAGUCAUCUCUGUACAUCUCUUAUUUCUUCUGCCCCUUUUUAUUGAGGAUAAAUACUGAUUUAAUUA